GCCUGGCUGGCUCAGUCAGCAGAGCAUGGGACUCUUGAUCUCGGGGUUGUGAGUUUGAGGCCCACGUUGGGUG
rnacentral:tRNA from 1 species